UAAAAAGCUGUGAAAAGAAGAGUAAACACACUUACUAUCUACAGAGACCUCUGGUAGCUGAAAAAGAGGAAUAGGAAAUGUGUUGAAACAAGCCUUGGAGCUGUGCAUUGGAUUUGUUUGUUUUGAACAAUGAUGAUGAACGUAUUCUCACGUUAACGAGAUAGAGUAUCGCAGGUGAUUUAUUCACAAAGCAGUACUCGAUUAGGCUUCUACAGAAAUGUGGAGGUGAACUGGGGUGGCACCGCGACACGACUCGCCCCCAAG
rnacentral:ncRNA from 1 species